GAUGAACGCUGGCGGCGUGCUUAACACAUGCAAGUCGAACGAAGCAUUUAGAGCAGAUUACUUCGGUUUGAAGUUCUUUAUGACUGAGUGGCGGACGGGUGAGUAACGCGUGGGUAACCUGCCUUGUACUGGGGGAUAGCAGCUGGAAACGGCUGGUAAUACCGCAUAAGCGCACAAUGUUGCAUGACAUGGUGUGAAAAACUCUGGUGGUAUAAGAUGGACCCGCGUCUGAUUAGCUAGUUGGUGAGAUAACAGCCCACCAAGGCGACGAUCAGUAGCCGAGCUGAGAGGGUGACCGGCCACAUUGAGACUGAGACACGGCCCAGACUCCUACGGGAGGCAGCAGUGGGGAAUAUUGCACAAUGGAGGAAACUCUGAUGCAGCGACGCCGCGUGAGUGAAGAAGUAAUUCGUUAUGUAAAGCUCUAUCAGCAGGGAAGAUAGUGACGGUACCUGACUAAGAAGCUCCGGCUAAAUACGUG
rnacentral:rRNA from 1 species